UGACUAGUCUUUGAUGACAGUCUAUUGUAAACUCCGCCAGGACAGAAAUGUAGCAACGGUAGCAAUUAAGAUUGGGUAUCCUUGAUUAGUCAGCC
rfam:Rhizobiales bacterium TMED168 MHASMcontig_501614, whole genome shotgun sequence.